UCCAGAGCAGGCAGGUGAAAACCUUCAAGACCCUGCAGGGUUCCAGAGGCUGGGUCCCAGAGCAGGCAGCUGAAAACCCUCAGGAAUGGGAAGAACCCUGCAGGGUUCCAAAGCUGUCCCAGAGCAGGCAGGUGAAGGCCCCUGGAAGGCCGUGGAGCUCCCGAUGCCCUCAGCAGAGCCAUCCUCAGCACCUGUGCCCUGCUCACACAGGGCUGGGACCUCCUGCAGCAAGGUCCAGGAGCGGGGUCAGUCCUGCAGGAGCUGCCAGCUGGGCCCGUCCCUGUGUCACCUGGGCCCGUCCCUGUGUCACCUGGGCCCGUCCCUGUGUCACCUGGGCCCCUGCAGCAGCUCCCAGCAGCUGUGGCUGGGGCAGAGCUCCAUGAGGUCACAGCAAAAAGCCAAAGCUACCAGGAAUGUCCCAUGCCACCCCUGCCCUGGGCAGGUGACACUGCUGAGGUUUGUCACAGUGCCACCCCUCUCCUGGGCAGGUGACACUGCUGAGGAUCCCUCCAGUGCCACCCUGCAGGUGGCACUGCCAGGCUCACAGGUGACACAGAGCCCUGCCUGUCUCCGAGGUGCUCUGUGGGACACAAAAGCAGGGCAGCCACUGGCACGGGUUUCUAAAAAACAGCAAAAACCUCCGUGGAUAAACUAGAUGGCCCGGUAUGGAAAAUAUUUGUAAAAGGUAUUUACAAAAGUUGAAAGAGAUUAAAUACAAUACCACAUUCAUGUCCCCAAAAGCGCUUUCACUACAGUGCAUGUUUAAAAAUACACAGCAUUUUUAAAGUAUAUAUUUAUAUAUAUAUAUAUAUUUAUAUAUAUAUACUGAAGAUUAGAUUGUGCUUUAAAAAAAUCAUUACUUCUGAAUUUGACUAACGUGAAAACUGAGUGCUGGGAAAAAUACUGAUUAAAAAUACCCAAUUUUAUAUAUACUGCUUUUCACAUAAUAGUUUGCUAUACAUGGGAUGCAAGUAAAUAUAAAAAUAGCAUUUUUUAAGCUGCAGGGUGAUCGAAAUAAACAGUAUUAAUAUAGGAGGGCCGAUUUUACAAAAGUAAGAUAAAUUAUUAGAGUGAGACAGGGAGAAACUAUAAUCCAAAUUAACUUUUAUAUAAUACUUUCAAAGAAAUCUUUAUCAUAGACAACUCUUAAUAUAGAAAUGUUCAGUAUUUUUAACUUUGAAGUUAAAUAUGGAUUAGACAAAAUACAACCUAUGCAAACUGACCCAUGCACACUGUCCUAGGAAGGCCAUGGAGCCACUGACACGAGCGAGGUUUGCAAACUUUGGUCCUCAGGUCUCAUAUUUGGCAAAACACAUCAAGACCUGACAAGCUUUACUGGUCAAUUCCCAAUUUCCAGGUUGGUGUUUUAGCCCAGUCCUCUGUGCACAACAGCAGGGAGAACUGAGUCUGUAAUACUCAGUUCUCACUGAGUAAUACAGGGAAGACUCUGUAAUACUAUGGAGAAUGAGCUGAAAAAAUGAAUUUCCUGUAAUUCAUAUUUUCAGCUUUACAAAAUGGACUAUUUUUUGCCAUAGUCCCUGUUUGAUCACAGGAAAGAUUCUAAAUUGUGAUAACCAGUUAUUUAACAACUCUAAACCAUGUACUUGUUAAUAAAUGGGGUGCAGGGGGAUUUACAGGUGACAUAAAAAAUUAAAACACAUUCCAACUGUGCCAAGUGCAUAUGAACUUCAACCUUGUUGAACCAAAGUGAUCACCAGGAGUAAAGGCCAUUGACAUGGAUUUAAAAAUAACCCCCAUGGAAAUGCCACACACAGACCCAAAGAGGUCAGGCAAGUAACACACACAUUUCAAGAAGAACACUGAACUUCAGCAUAAAGAGAAAAAGAAAUUCGCCCCACAGUUACAUUCAGUUAAGCAUCACACCCAGAAGCUUUGCCCAGUGGAAGAACAAGCUGUGCUCAGCCCACUGGAGCUGGCACUGGCAGGCACAGCUGGGGACCCUCCUCCUCCUCCUCCUGGUUCCCUUGCCUGGUAGCCAGGCCCCAUCCCAGACCAAUUUUUGUUGCGCUUUUUGAUGCAGUUGUUCCUUUGGACCCUAUGGAAUAUGGAAUGCUCCAGCUGUGCUCCAUCCUACCCCUGGUGGUGUCAGAACUGUGCUCGUCACUAGGGGCAGGUGCUUCCCCUCCCUGCUCACAUCUGUGUCCUUGGAUGCUGCUGUUUCCAGGUGAAACCACAUCCCAGGCUUCCUUCCCUGAGGUUCCCUUUGUUUCAGUAAACCAGCACAGCCAGUGAUGCCCUACCAAGCUCCUUAGCUUCUAAGAAACACAGAAAUCCUGCAAAAUAAAAUUGCUCCAAAGCUCCACUGCUUUGACAGAGAACCGUUUCCUACACCCUCCUCCUAAAGGUGACUCACUUUUCCCAAAACCUCAUGAGGACAUAGACUUCAAGCAAAAAGCUCCUAUAAAACUAUUGUAAUUUUAGAAAAAAAUCCAGAUCUUCCUGAAGAUAAUUUAUUGCCGCUGAUUGGUCCUGAGAAAGCUUUAAGCAACAAUACAUUUGCACGUGUUUUAACUGCUGCCUUUUCUGAGAAGGUAUGUGGGUCCUGAGACUAAAAACCAUGUUUUACUCUGUGCACUUAAGCUUGGAAAAUGCUUCACUGUGCAGAUCAAAUAUGAAUUACAAUUUGUCACGCUACAUCUUCCUUCUGUGCCAAUUUAUUAAAGCAGAUUUCCUUCCAGACACUAACAAAUUAAAGUUCUCGGGAUGAAAUGCAAUGGUAAAAUGCCACACGUGUGCUUCCUCACAUUGGACUGGCAUUUAAGGACUUCAGAUCUUCCUUCUCCCUCAUUCCCCACCUCCUGUUAAAAGCUAUGGUGAGAAUUUUUUGGCCUGGAUACCAGAAAAUUCCUCAUCUGAUACUCUAUGAAAGGCAACUUCAAGGCAAUGAAAUAAGCCAACAAAAACACAAAAACAUUCACAACUCUGAAGAAAAAAUAUGGACCCACAGCAGUUACUUCUCAAUGGAAGUGCUUGGUAGCUUGAGAUUUUUUUUUUCUUUUUAACUGUUAAAGUGUCAAAUUUGCAUAUGUUUAAC